rnacentral:rRNA from 1 species
UAUUGCACAAUGGGGGAAACCCUGAUGCAGCGACGCCGCGUGAGUGAAGAAGUAUUUCGGUAUGUAAAGCUCUCUCAGCAGGGAAGAUAAUGACGGUACCUGACUAAGAAGCCCCGGCUAACUAAGUGCCAGCAUCCGCGGUAAUACGUAUGGGGCAAGCGUUAUCCGGAUUUACUGGGUGUGAGGGGAGCGUAGGCGGCCUGGCAAGCCUGAUGUGAAAUACCGGGGCCCAACCCCGGGGCUGCAUUGGGAACUGCCAGGCUGGAGUGCCGGAGAGGCAGGCGGAAUUCCUAGUGUAGCGGUGAAAUGCGUAGAUAUUAGGAGGAACACCAGUGGCGAAGGCGGCCUGCUGGACGGUGACUGACGCUGAGGCUCGAAAGCGUGGGGAGCAAACAGG